rnacentral:rRNA from 1 species
GACGAACGCUGGCGGCGUGCUUAACACAUGCAAGUCGAACGAUGAACCCGGAGCUUGCUCCGGUGGAUUAGCGGCGAACGGGUGAGUAACACGUGAGUAACCAGCCCUUGACUCUGGGAUAACUGCGGGAAACUGUAGCUAAUACCGGAUACGACCCUCGGCGGCAUCGCCAGGGGGUGGAAAGAAUUUCGGUCAAGGAUGGACUCGCGGCCUAUCAGCUAGUUGGUGAGGUAACGGCUCACCAAGGCGACGACGGGUAGCCGGCCUGAGAGGGUGACCGGCCACACUGGGACUGAGACACGGCCCAGACUCCUACGGGAGGCAGCAGUGGGGAAUAUUGCACAAUGGGCGCAAGCCUGAUGCAGCAACGCCGCGUGAGGGAUGACGGCCUUCGGGUUGUAAACCUCUUUUAGUAGGGAAGAAGCGAAAGUGACGGUACCUGCAGAAAAAGCACCGGCUAACUACGUGCCAGCCGCCGCGGUAA